rnacentral:rRNA from 1 species
GAUGAACGCUAGCUACAGGCUUAACACACGCAAGUCGAGGGGAAACGAUAGAGAAAGCUUGCUUUUUCUAGGCGUCGACCGGCGCACGGGUGAGUAACGCGUAUCCAACCUGCCCAUCACUUGGGGAUAACCUUGCGAAAGUAAGACUAAUACCCAAUGAUAUCUCUAGAAGACAUCUGAAAGGGAUUAAAGAUUUAUCGGUGAUGGAUGGGGAUGCGUCUGAUUAGCUUGUUGGCGGGGUAACGGCCCACCAAGGCGACGAUCAGUAGGGGUUCUGAGAGGAAGGUCCCCCACAUUGGAACUGAGACACGGUCCAAGCUCCUACGGGAGGCAGCAGUGAGGAAUAUUGGUCAAUGGGCGAGAGCCUGAACCAGCCAAGUAGCGUGCAGGAUGACGGCCCUAUGGGUUGUAAACUGCUUUUAUAAGGGAAUAAAGUGAGUCUCGUGAGACUUUUUGCAUGUACCUUAUGAAUAAGGACCGGCUAAUUCCGUGCCAGCCGCCGCGGUAA